CUGCCAUAUUUGAAAGCAAUCAUUUUAGAAGGGCUAAGGCGGCACCCACCAGCACAUUUUGUUGUGCCACAUGCGGUGACUGAAGAUGUAGUUUUGGAUAAAUAUUUAGUACCCAAAAAUGCAAAUAUAAAUUUCAUGGUGGCAGACAUGGGAUGGGAUCCAGAGGUUUGGGAGGAUCCCAUGGCUUUUAAGCCUGAAAGGUUUAUGGGUAGUGAUAAUAGCAGUGGAGAAGUGUUUGAUAUAACAGGGAGUAAGGAGAUUAAGAUGAUGCCAUUUGGGGUGGGAAGGAGAAUUUGCCCUGGAUAUGGAUUAGCAAUGCUUCAUUUGGAGUAUUUUGUGGCUAAUUUGAUUUGGAAAUUUGAGUGGAAGGCUAUGGAUGGAGAUGAUGUUGACUUGUCUGAGAAGCUACAGUUUACAAUGGUAAUGAAGAAUCCAUUACAGGCCCUCAUAUCUCCCAGAUUCAAAUAAAGCUUCAUCUCUAUUUUUUUAGAUUUCAGUCUGUAUCACUCGAAAAGUUCUUGGGCAGCAGGAGAUGCUGCGUCUGUUGACAACAGACAAGUUAUGUAUGUUGUAUGCGUUAACCUAAAAAAAAUAAAUUAUUGCAAUUAAAAG
rnacentral:misc_RNA from 1 species